rnacentral:tRNA from 1 species
CGGGACGUAGCGCAGCCUGGCUAGCGUGCCUGGAUCGGGCCCAGGAGGUCGGAGGUUCGAAUCCUCUCGUCCCGACCA